UACGUAGGGGGCGAGCGUUGUCCGGAUUCAUUGGGCGUAAAGAGCUCGUAGGCGGCUUGGCAAGUCGGGUGUGAAAACUCCAGGCUCAACCUGGAGACGCCACUCGAUACUGCCAUGGCUUGAGUCUGGUAGGGGAUCACGGAAUUCCUGGUGUAGCGGUGAAAUGCGCAGAUAUCAGGAGGAACACCGGUGGCGAAGGCGGUGAUCUGGGCCAGUACUGACGCUGAGGAGCGAAAGCGUGGGGAGCGAACAGG
rnacentral:rRNA from 1 species